UACGGGGGGAGCAAGCGUUGUUCGGAUUUACUGGGCGUAAAGGGCGCGUAGGCGGCCUGUGCAAGUCAGUUGUGAAUCUCCGAGCUUAACUCGGAACGGUCAACUGAUACUGCUCGGCUAGAGUGCGGAAGGGGCAACUGGAAUUCUUGGUGUAGCGGUGAAAUGCGUAGAUAUCAAGAGGAACACCUGCGGCGAAGGCGGGUUGCUGGGCCGACACUGACGCUGAGGCGCGAAAGCGUGGGGAGCAAACAGG
rnacentral:rRNA from 1 species